rnacentral:rRNA from 1 species
CGUCUAGGCGGCAGCCUAAGUCUCGCGUGAAAGCUCCCGGCUCAACUGGGAGAGGGCGCGGGAAACUGGGCAGCUAGAGACUCGGAGGGGGGUGUGGAAUUCCCGGUGGAGUGGUGAUAUGCGUUGAGAUCGGGAGGAACACCAGUGGCGAAGGCGGCACCCUGGCCGAGGUCUGACGCUGAAGCGCGACAGCGUGGGGAGCAAACG